rnacentral:lncRNA from 1 species
GGAGUUCCACAGUAGCGUUUCGUGGGUGAGACCGAAGACCAGGAGGUUGCAGGGGGCGGCGCAGCGCCGGAGGACGGCGGCGACGGCGCUCAGCUCCUCGGCGGACAUGCGACCGGCGGAGGAGGCGUUGAGGGCGGCGUAGUGGAGGAGCGCGUCGAAGACGGGCUUCGGGAGCUGGGACUUGGACUUUCCGGCGGCGCCGGCGGAUGUCCUGGCGGCCGAGGCGGCGUCCCUGGUGGUUAAGAGGGUGAAGGCGAAGGUGAAGAUGAAGAAGAGGACGAAGACCACGAGCCACGCGCGGUGGGAGGGGUUCGCCGGCGCUCCGCCUCCUCCGCCGGCGGGCUUGUGGUGGAGAACGAUGAACUUGGCGCCUGUCUUCAUGUGUUUGAUGAAAUGCGGUGGAGCUCUGGAUUGAUGGAUUUCCUGCUUCUUGUUUCUUCUUUUUUUUUCUUUAUCUUUUUCUUUUUUCAAAUCUGAGAUGUAAACAAUUAAAGAGAGAAUGUGGCACUACUUACUAGGUGAGCUGCG